rnacentral:rRNA from 1 species
CAGCCGCCGCGGGAACACGUAGGGUGCGAGCGUUAAUCGGAAUUACUGGGCGUAAAGCGUGCGCAGGCGGUUUUGUAAGACAGACGUGAAAUCCCCGGGCUCAACCUGGGAAUGGCGCUUGUGACUGCAAAGCUAGAGUGCGGCAGAGGGGGAUGGAAUUCCGCGUGUAGCAGUGAAAUGCGUAGAUAUGCGGAGGAACACCGAUGGCGAAGGCAAUCCCCUGGGCCUGCACUGACGCUCAUGCACGAAAGCGUGGGGAGCAAACAGGAUUAGAUACCCCCGUAGUCCCUGUCUCUUAUAC